rnacentral:rRNA from 1 species
UACGUAGGGGGCGAGCGUUGUCCGGAUUUAUUGGGCGUAAAGAGCGUGUAGGCGGCCAGGUAGGUCUGCUGUGAAAACUCGAGGCUCAACCUCGAGACGUCGGCGGAAACCAUCUGGCUAGAGUCCGGAAGAGGAGAGUGGAAUUCCUGGUGUAGCGGUGAAAUGCGCAGAUAUCAGGAAGAACACCCGUGGCGAAGGCGGCUCUCUGGGCCGUAACUGACCGCUGAGGAGCGAAAGCAUGGGGAGCGAACAGG